rnacentral:rRNA from 1 species
UGCCGUGGGCGCUGGAGAAUUGAGGGGGGCUGCUCCUAGUACGAGAGGACCGGAGUGGACGCAUCACUGGUGUUCGGGUUGUCAUGCCAAUGGCAUUGCCCGGUAGCUAAAUGCGGAAGAGAUAAGUGCUGAAAGCAUCUAAGCACGAAACUUGCCCCGAGAUGAGUUCUCCCUGAGACUUUAAGUCUCCUGAAGGAACGUUAAAGACGAUGACGUUGAUAGGUCGGGUGUGUAAGCGUAGCGAUACGUUGAGCUAACCGAUACUAAUGAACCGUGAGGCUUAACCUU